rnacentral:misc_RNA from 1 species
UCUCCGUAGGUGAACCUGCGGAGGGAUCAUUACAGAGUUCAUGCCCUAACGGGUAGAUCUCCCACCCUAUGUUAUCAUCACUUUGUUGCUUUGGCGGGCCGUCAGGCCUCGGCUUGGCUACCGGCUCUCGCCGGUAAGCGCCCGCCAGAGAACCCCAAACCCUGAAUAUCAGUGUCGUCUGAGUACUAUAUAAUAGUUAAAACUUUCAACAACGGAUCUCUUGGUUCUG